rnacentral:rRNA from 1 species
GACGAACGCUGGCGGCGUGCUUAACACAUGCAAGCCGAACGGAAAGGCCUUUUCGGAGGUACUCGAGUGGCGAACGGGUGAGUAACACGUGGGUGAUCUGCCCUGCACUCUGGGAUAAGCCUGGGAAACUGGGUCUAAUACCGGAUAGGACCGCACUUUAGUGUGUGUGGUGGAAAGUUUUUUCGGUGUAGGAUGAGCCCGCGGCCUAUCAGCUUGUUGGUGGGGUAAUGGCCUACCAAGGCGGCGACGGGUAGCCGGACUGAGAGGUUGGUCGGCCACAUUGGGACUGAGAUACGGCCCAGACUCCUACGGGAGGCAGCAGUGGGGAAUAUUGCACAAUGGGCGCAAGCCUGAUGCAGCGACGCCGCGUGGGGGAUGACGGCCUUCGGGUUGUAAACUCCUUUCGCCAGGGACGAAGCGUUUUGUGACGGUACCUGGAGAAGAAGCACCGGCUAACUACGUG